AGAGUUUGAUCAUGGCUCAGAUUGAACGCUGGCGGCAUGCCUUACACAUGCAAGUCGAACGGUAACGCGGGGCAACCUGGCGACGAGUGGCGAACGGGUGAGUAAUGCAUCGGAACGUGCCCGGUAGUGGGGGAUAGCCCGGCGAAAGCCGGAUUAAUACCGCAUACGACCUACGGGUGAAAGCGGGGGACCGCAAGGCCUCGCGCUAUCGGAGCGGCCGAUGUCAGAUUAGGUAGUUGGUGGGGUAAAGGCCUACCAAGCCUGCGAUCUGUAGCUGGUCUGAGAGGACGACCAGCCACACUGGGACUGAGACACGGCCCAGACUCCUACGGGAGGCAGCAGUGGGGAAUUUUGGACAAUGGGGGCAACCCUGAUCCAGCCAUGCCGCGUGCGGGAAGAAGGCCUUCGGGUUGUAAACCGCUUUUGUCAGGGAAGAAAUCGCUCGAGAUAAUACCCCGGGCGGAUGACGGUACCUGAAGAAUAAGCACCGGCUAACUACGUGCCAGCAGCCGCGGUAAUACGUAGGGUGCGAGCGUUAAUCGGAAUUACUGGGCGUAAAGCGUGCGCAGGCGGUCUUGCAAGACAGAGGUGAAAUCCCCGGGCUCAACCUGGGAACUGCCUUUGUGACUGCAAGGCUAGAGUGCGGCAGAGGGGGAUGGAAUUCCGCGUGUAGCAGUGAAAUGCGUAGAUAUGCGGAGGAACACCGAUGGCGAAAGCAGUCCCCUGGGCCUGCACUGACGCUCAUGCACGAAAGCGUGGGGAGCAAACAGGAUUAGAUACCCUGGUAGUCCACGCCCUAAACGAUGUCAACUGGUUGUUGGAGGGGCUCCCUUUCAGUAACGAAGCUAACGCGUGAAGUUGACCGCCUGGGGAGUACGGCCGCAAGGUUGAAACUCAAAGGAACUGACGGGGACCCGCACAAGCGGUGGAUGAUGUGGUUUAAUUCGAUGCAACGCGAAAAACCUUACCUACCCUUGACAUGCCCGGAAUCCCGCAGAGAUGCGGGAGUGCUCGAAAGAGAGCCGGGACACAGGUGCUGCAUGGCCGUCGUCAGCUCGUGUCGUGAGAUGUUGGGUUAAGUCCCGCAACGAGCGCAACCCUUGUCAUUAGUUGCUACGAAAGGGCACUCUAAUGAGACUGCCGGUGACAAACCGGAGGAAGGUGGGGAUGACGUCAGGUCCUCAUGGCCCUUAUGGGUAGGGCUACACACGUCAUACAAUGGCCGGUACAGAGGGCUGCCAACCUGCGAGGGGGAGCUAAUCCCAGAAAACCGGUCGUAGUCCGGAUCGCAGUCUGCAACUCGACUGCGUGAAGUCGGAAUCGCUAGUAAUCGCGGAUCAGCUUGCCGCGGUGAAUACGUUCCCGGGUCUUGUACACACCGCCCGUCACACCAUGGGAGCGGGUUCUGCCAGAAGUAGUUAGCCUAACCGCAAGGAGGGCGAUUACCACGGCAGGGUUCGUGACUGGGGUGAAGUCGUAACAAGGUA
rnacentral:rRNA from 1 species